rnacentral:rRNA from 1 species
UACGUAGGGUGCAAGCGUUGUCCGGAAUUAUUGGGCGUAAAGAGCUCGUAGGCGGUCUGUCGCGUCGGCUGUGAAAACCUGGGGCUCAACCCCGGGCCUGCAGCCGAUACGGGCAGACUAGAAUUCGGUAGGGGAGACUGGAAUUCCUGGUGUAGCGGUGAAAUGCGCAGAUAUCAGGAGGAACACCGGUGGUGUAGACGGCUCUCUGGACCGUAACUGACGCUGAGGCACGAAAGCGUGGGUAGCAAACAGG